rnacentral:rRNA from 1 species
UACGAGGGGGGCGAGCGUUGUUCGGAAUUAUUGGGCGUAAAGGGUGCGUAGGCGGUUCCGCAAGUCCUGUGUGAAAUCUUCGGGCUCAACUCGAAGUCUGCACGGGAAACUGCGGGGCUUGAGUGUGGGAGAGGUGAGUGGAAUUCCCGGUGUAGCGGUGAAAUGCGUAGAUAUCGGAAGGAACACCUGUGGCGAAAGCGGCUCACUGGACCAUAACUGACGCUGAGGCGCGAAAGCUAGGGGAGCAAACAGG